rnacentral:lncRNA from 1 species
CACAAAUACAUUGUGAAGGAUAGUCAGCUUAUUAUUCAAACUCUUUCCAUCAUGAUAUAUCUUUGCAUUGUUUUUAAACUUGCUGGGCAACUUUCAUGCUCACCCUUGCUAUAUCAUGAUAAAACAUUGCAGAUAAGACGAAUACGGCCAGUUACAGGAAAAGGAAAAUGCCAAGUUCAGCUUAGGAUAGAAUGUACAGCUAAUUUGUAAAAGUAUGGUUGAAGAAUAGUAUUGUUAUGUGUUAGAUAGUUUAUGAAUUGUGUAUAAGUUAAGGUUACUCGAUUUUGGGAAUAGUGUGUAAAGUUUAAUGUAUAAAUAAUUUAUGUUUAUAUCUAAAGUAAAAAGUUAUAGAAAUUAGCGAACCGAAUCCGCGGCGAUUUGGGGCCCGGAUUCGGGGACGCUACA